AUUGAACGCUGGCGGAAUGCUUUACACAUGCAAGUCGAACGGCAGCACGGGGCAACCUGGUGGCGAGUGGCGAACGGGUGAGUAAUACAUCGGAACGUGCCCAGUCGUGGGGGAUAACGUAGCGAAAGUUACGCUAAUACCGCAUACGAUCUAAGGAUGAAAGCGGGGGAUCGCAAGACCUCGCGCGAUUGGAGCGGCCGAUGUCAGAUUAGGUAGUUGGUGGGGUAAAGGCCCACCAAGCCGACGAUCUGUAGCUGGUCUGAGAGGACGACCAGCCACACUGGGACUGAGACACGGCCCAGACUCCUACGGGAGGCAGCAGUGGGGAAUUUUGGACAAUGGGCGCAAGCCUGAUCCAGCCAUUCCGCGUGCAGGAUGAAGGCCUUCGGGUUGUAAACUGCUUUUGUACGGAGCGAAAAGGCUCUCUCUAAUACAGGGGGCUCAUGACGGUACCGUAAGAAUAAGCACCGGCUAACUACGUGCCAGCAGCCGCCGUAAUAC
rnacentral:rRNA from 1 species